GAUGAAGAACGUAGCGAAAUGCGAUACUUGGUGUGAAUUGCAGAAUCCCGUGAACCAUCGAGUCUUUGAACGCAAGUUGCGCCCGAAGCCAUUAGGCCGAGGGCACGCCUGCCUGGGCGUCACACGUCGUUGCCCCCCCAUCUACUCCUUCGGGAUUGCGGGGGGCGGUUGAUGGCCUCCCGUGCGCCUCGUCGCGCGGUUGGCAUAAAUGCCAAGUCCUCGGCGACGCACGCCACGACAAUCGGUGGUUGCGAAACCUCGGUUGCCCGUCGUGUGCGGUCGUCGCGCAUCGAGGGCUCGAAAAAAUUGUCGGGCUCCGGCUCGGCUUUCAACGCGACCCCAGGUCAGGCGGGGUUACCCGCUGAAUUUAAGCAUAUCAAUAAGCGGAGGA
rnacentral:misc_RNA from 1 species